AACGAACGCUGGCGGCGUGCCUAACACAUGCAAGUCGAACGAGAAAGGGGCUUCGGCUCCGAGUAAAGUGGCGCACGGGUGAGUAACACGUGGGUAACCUGCCUCUAAGAUUGGGAUAACUCGUCGAAAGAUGAGCUAAUACCGAAUAAGACCACAGUUCCCGCGGGAACAGGGGUCAAAGGUAGCCUCUGCUUGCAAGCUAUCACUUAGAGAUGGGCCUGCGCACCAUUAGCUAGUUGGUAGGGUAACGGCCUACCAAGGCAAAGAUGGUUAGCUGGUCUGAGAGGAUGAUCAGCCACAAUGGAACUGAGACACGGUCCAGACUCCUACGGGAGGCAGCAGUGGGGAAUAUUGCGCAAUGGGCGAAAGCUUGACGCAGCAACGCCGCGUGAGUGAUGAAGGCCUUCGGGUCGUAAAGCUCUGUCGGGAGGAACGAAUGCUCCUGAGGUUAACAGCCUCGGGAGGUGACGGUACCUUCAAAGGAAGCACCGGCUAACUCUGUG
rnacentral:rRNA from 1 species